rnacentral:rRNA from 1 species
UGAGGAACAUGACCUUCGGCGGGGGAUAGCCGGCCCAACGGCCGGGUAAUACCGCGUACGACCACAUGGGGACAUCCCUGAGUGGUGAAAGCAGCAAUGCGCCGAUGGAGUGCCUCGCGGCCUAUCAGCUAGUUGGUGAGGUAACGCUCACCAAGGCGACGACGGGUAGCUGGUCUGAGAGGACGACCAGCCACACUGGAACUGGGAUACGGUCCAGACUCCGUAGGGNGCAG